GCAGGAUUGCCGGUGGUGUCUUCUCGGAGCAGUUUGUGAAGUUGAGGGUCUUCUGCAGACUGAAAAACCACAGACAAGAUUUCAGACAUUGUGAUGUUACAGGAUUGCCAGUGGUGUCUUCUGGGAGCAGUUUGUGAAGUUGAGGGUCUUCUGUAGACUGUACAACCACGGACAAGAUUUCAGACAUUUAUAGGAUUGCCGGUGGUGUCUUCUCGGAGCAGUUUGUGAAGUUGAGGGUCUUCUGCAGACUGAAAAACCACAGACAAGAUUUCAGACAUUGUGAUUUUACAGACGACGUUCGAGGGGCGUGGUUGAAUUGGGCGGACAAGCAUUUGGGCAGAAGUUUGAUACCGCGGCUCUGCCUCAGGCUCCAUGGACGAUUCCUUCUGCGCAUGCCCUGGCACCAAACUGAUGUUUUUACAUAACAUGGCGGCGACCAUGGAGGCGGCGUCGUGUCGUCCAAUUUAUUUUACAGUCUAUAUAAACUACACUUAUACAGUAACAGUAACAUGCAUAAGUUUCAACUUGUCAAAUGUAUAAGAGGAAUGUUGUUUUUCUUGUAGGGAGAAAGAAGUUAGAAGCAUGUUACAGCAAAUGUAAAAUACAGUCCCAUUCUGUCUG